GUGGUGAGCUGCGUGCAAGCAUCGUUCCUCCUCAUCCUUGGCAGCCGCUGCUCGCCGGCUGUCCUCCCACCACCGCCGCCGCCGCCGCCGGCAGCCGCCGGCCCGUCCACUCCCAACGGCAGACAGCAUGUGCCUGUCACCCCAACGCCAGCAAGCAGCAGCGGUCCACCAAUAGAUGAGAUAGGUGAAAUAUGUGAAUGUGGAUUACAUUCACUUUGUGCUGGAAAGGAAAGCUCCGUCAGACAUCACUACAUGCGAAGAGGAGAUUCAGUAACUGUCAGAUGUGGACUGACUGCAAUGCAGAGAAAUAUCGGAGUGGAGACCGAAUAAUUAAGAUCAUCGUGUCGCUGGGCAGCGGGCCGUGGGACGCGCUGUUUGCGGGAGGGAACGCGCCAUAGUUCUUCGUGGCAGCCGUGGCGUCCUUCAUCGGCGGGCUGGUGGCCAUCCUGGGGCUCCCUCGAGCCGGCAUCACGCCGAAGAAGAGAAGCCACCGAUGAUGAGUACAUUAUUACAGGUUUUACAUCCUCGUCAAGUUAAGUUGCAGCCACUCUUUGUGCUCGUUGUUCAAAGACACACACCGGGGGAUCUGCCUAUCUGUAUAUCAAUCAUCAUCAUGCUGACGGAGCUAGCUCUGGAAUUGGCAUCGUUUUUUUUGCGUCUCGAACAUGGUUGUAUCUUGGUUGUAUGUUGAUCGUUGUUUUGUCGGAGAUGGUCGGUGAAUGAAUAAAUAAAAUUCGCAGCAGGGUUUUUACUUGA